CAGUCGAGGGGCAGCAUUUUAGUUUGCUUGCAACUGAAGAUGGCGACCGGCGCACGGGUGAGUAACACGUAUCCAACCUGCCGAUAACUCCGGGAUAGCCUUUCGGAAGAAAGAUUAAUACCGGAUGGCAUACGAAUAUCGCAUGAUAUUUUUAUUAAAGAAUUUCGGUUAUCGAUGGGGAUGCGUUCCAUUAGUUUGUUGGCGGGGUAACGGCCCACCAAGACUACGAUGGAUAGGGGUUCUGAGAGGAAGGUCCCCCACAUUGGAACUGAGACACGGUCCAAACUCCUACGGGAGGCAGCAGUGAGGAAUAUUGGUCAAUGGGCGAGAGCCUGAACCAGCCAAGUAGCGUGAAGGAUGAAGGCUCUAUGGGUCGUAAACUUCUUUUAUAUGGGAAUAAAGUUUUCCACGUGUGGAAUUUUGUAUGUACCAUAUGAAUAAGGAUCGGCUAACUCCGUGCCAGCAGCCGCGGUAAUACGGAGGAUCCGAGCGUUAUCCGGAUUUAUUGGGUU
rnacentral:rRNA from 1 species